AGAGUCUUCUGAGGGAAAAGCGGCAUGGCCCUACCAACAGCUUGAUUUCAAACUUUCACCCUCCAGAACUGUGAGAGAAUACAUUUCUGUUGUUUUAAGCCACUAAGCAUGUGGUC